AUCACAUGCAGAGCUGGCAUUAUAUGCUUUCAACAGCACCUUCAAUCAAAUAUAUUUAUUCUACUGAUUUUACUUUAACUGCUUUUAUACUUAGAUUUUGUUUGCAAUUAAAGAAUAAAAAUCAAAACAAAACCUCAAGUAAAGGGUGCACUUCACAAUUUUCAUACACUUAGGAACAUUGCAAAUCCUUAUCUAAGAAAUGAUAAAAAAAUUCUAUUUUAUUUCAGUGGCAUUUUACCCCAUUAAGCACUAAAAUAUGCAACUGAAGAAAUACUUGGAUAAGAAAUAUGUGCAGUAGUAAGCAACAACAAAACCAAACAAAUAACAGCAAAAGUGGAAGACAUGCACCUGUCCCUGCUGGGGAAAAAAAAAAAAAAAAAAGAGUGAGUGAGUGAGUGAAAAAGAAUCUGCAAAGAGGUCUCCUUCACUCAAUAUAAGCUUUGAAGAACAACAUGAUGAAACUUGUUCAAAAAUGUAUACAUCUUGGGGAACCUUCUGAAGCUGAAUUAUUCCACAACAUAGCUGGAAGAUUUCAUUCUGCAACUUUUAUACUAUUAUCAGUACUACUACUACAUUAUCACACCAUCACAGCUACAAUGCUACAAAGGACUGCUUCCUUUCUUUGCCUUAUAUCUGGUGAUAUACCUAAGAGGAUUUUGUCUGCAGAGUUCAAAAACUCAAAGUGUUUUUUUUUUUCAAAGUUAACAUUUCAAGUGAAUAAAGUAUUUUUCAUUGAAUCAUAGCUUCUGUUUUUGCCUGAAUUCAGUUUUGCAAUUCAUUCUUCUAAAAUUUAUCCAUAGGUCUUUCUCUAUUUAACUUUUGACUUUUCGAGGUCAAAGGGAACACGAUUCGAAAGCACUAUUUUAGUGGGCUAGAACUUCAGAAUUUUACAAAUAAAAAUAAAGAAUGUUUCUCA
rnacentral:lncRNA from 1 species